AUGGCCAGCCAUAGCAAGAACAAAGGAAGAAAAGAAGAACAAAAACCCUAGAGUGAAAAUUCAAGAGAAAAUUGGUGGAUUUCAAGUAAUCAAGCCAUCAAAGGUGAAAUUUAUUAACUCUAGCUUGUGAUCUCUCUUUCCUAUGCAUUAUUUUGCAUUUUCCAUGGUUGAAUCACAAGAUAUCAUGAAGGAUAGUGUGCUGAUCAAACCUAGGAGAGAGAAUUUGAUGAUGAUUUAGAUAGAUUUUUAAGAUAUAUGGAUGUUUUUAGUUGUUUAUGGUGUUAAGUGUGAGAAUUAAGCUUGAAAUUCACAUAUUCCUCAUGAGUUCAUCAUUGGCUGAAUCUUCCUUGUGGAGUGUUGAUGGUGGAUUUGAUUUUAUUUCAAGUGAAUUGGUUAGGAAAUGAUGAAUUAUGGUGAGAAAAUCAAGUAGGAAAAAUCAUAGUGUUGAUGCACUCACCAUGGCCGAAAUUCUCAAGAAGAAAUGUGAGGAUGGUUUUGCUAAAUUUUAUGUUAUUUGACUUGUGUUUGGUGAUUUGAAGUAUUGGGAGAGAAAUGGAAUUAUUGGGAGUUGAAUUGGACGUAUUGGCCAAUUAAUCGGGUGAUAGAUCGAGUUAGGUCAACACCGCAUGUAGACGAUAAUCUGAACAAUUCGCAUUCCAUAUCAUGCAUUCAUAUAGAGUUUAGAUUAGUUUUAUAACAGUUUAGCACCAAUGUGGUAAAUUGCUUGAUUUUGCAUUAUGUCUAGGUGGUGAAUCCUCCGAAAAAGGGUAAAGAAAUUGCACCCGAGGAUCAAUAGUCGGAGUACUCCAAAAUUCAAACACCUGAUACAGUGAGUAACCUUAUCAUCAUCUUGAUUAUUUGAAGUGAAUUUUAAUUCGUUUUUGUGAUUUUAUGGAAAAUGAGUUUAAAUGGUAAAUCUUUCUGUUUUAAAAGCAAAAUGUGAUUAAAUGAAAUGAUUUUAUAAAAUUGUCUUGAAAUUGAAUGAUGGUUUUGGAAAAUGGAGUAAUUGGAGACUAAUUGAUGUGUUGUAAAUUAUGGUUUGAAUUGAAUGGCUUAUAAUAAUGUGGGCAUGAGUGGCUGGAUUUGGUAAAUGUGCUAAAAAUGUAUGAACUGUUGAUUUGCCUUGAGAGGCUGUUAAAUAAAAUAAUUGCCAUGUCAUCUUGUUGAAUUUUAUUGAAUUAGUGGGUUAUAAAUUGGUCGCUGCAGUGGACGGGUUCCGUGGACCAGCCUAUUAGAGGGCACAGUAACCUUAUUAUAUUCUUACCUCAGUAUGAGAGGCACGGAUGGAUAACUCUUGAGGUUAACACUUUAUAGUUCACUUCACGCUAAACCACCACGUGAGGGUGAACUCAGCCAAUGCCAAGGAACGACUAUGCUUUCAAACUAAAAACAUGAUUUAUGUGUACAUGACUUUUUAGCAGCCUUGGCGGACACGGUUGGGAUAGCCCUCGACCAAGGUAUCCCUAAAAACUGAGUAUGAUAAUGAUUUUGGCAUGAGCCAAACUUUUCAGGAAAUCAUAAGCCUCGUUGUUUAUUUAGGUGAAAUGAAUCUAUUUUAUCUUAUUAAAAUGAGUUCGAAAUGCUGUGAAUCAUUUUUAUGCUAAUCUAUCUUAUCUGUCUCCAUUUACUCACCUUUAGAUAUUUUAGAUGAUAUUUGUUUACUCACUUGGAUUAUAUAAUCUCACUACCCUCCUUUCCACCCAUUUCAGGCUCAGGAUAGUCGGUAGAUAGCUCACUUUGUUAAGGGCUACAGUUGGACUUGCAUCCUCAAAAACUGUAGGUUUAUCGCUUUUGAUACUUUUGGUUGUUCGUGGGCCCACGUGUCACUGUAAAAUAAAUCUUAUGCUUUGGUUAUUUGUAUUACAGUAUGUAUGAAUUUAUUUAGCUUUUACGCUACAAAAAUUAUUUACCGGCAACUCUAUAAAUAUUGUUUUAUAAGAAAAUAGAAUAUUUUAUUGAAUAUUUUUAUUAUAUUCAAAUAGUCAUAAUUUCAUUUUAAAUGAAGGUUUAAGAAGUUUAAACUUAUUUUUGAUUAUGAAUUAUGUGUUUUAUACUCGCAUACUACAUUUUUAGCUGGUUUCCAAAUUUUCGAGAAAAAAUGACCAAUAUGCCCUUGUGAGACAGAAAUCAUUUUUUUUUAUUGAUUUAAGUUAGAAAUAGCUUAAAAUCUUUUAAAACAUGAUAUUUGGCAAUGGUUACUCACAGGGGAAAUGAGAAACUGAUAUUAAAGCCUUGUGGGUUUUCGAUUGACAUUUCGGAUAAUGACUGUCGAUCGGGACACCGCGGUGGUUGUCACGAGCUCGAAGGGAGUAUCGGGUCGUGACAAUUAGAGUGGUAUUAGAGCUUUUUGUUUUAAAGAUUAGAGCUGUUGGGUUUAAAGUUGUUUUAAAGCUGUUUUAAAAACUACAGUGUUAGUGUGGGUCAAGUUAAGUUAAGUUAAGUUAAGUUAGGUUUGAUAUAAUAGAAUACGUGCAUCUGCAUAUAGAUUUUGGAGUUGUUUAGACUCGUUCUGUUUCUUCUUAUAAAUCUUAUGGGAGCAUAAGUCAUAGACAGGGAGCUAUAUGAACUCCUGUUCCCAGUAAUCCACUUCCUUGUUAAUGUCAUGCAAAGGUCAUAAGUAGGGCCAUUGUCCGGGUUUAAGAUGCCACCCGUGACACAAGCUAGUGUUAGAGAGAUCUUAAAACCAAUGCUCCCAAUGAAAGAUUAAUGAAAUGAUAUAUCCCUCCGAUUAAGGAUGGAGAAAUUUGGAGUUGGACUAAUAGGCCGUGAUAAUUUAUUCAUUUGGUGGAGUUAUAAUUGAACUCAUGGUUGUCAAUUGGAAAAAGAUUUGGGGACUAUGGAUUGUAUUGGGGUUAAUAUAAAGGAGCGCGUGUGAUAGUGGUAAUAAGGGUUGUACUUUGAUUAGAAUGAAUAGUGAUGGUUGUAAUUCACUUGAAGUGUAUAAAUUAAGCAUUGAGGUAAGAGUAAACCCAUACUUAUGUGCAUGAAGAUAAGAACACUAUGUUAAUUGAGCUUGUUAUGCCCAUAUAAAAGUGGUGUUGGGAUUUUGAAAUAUUUUAUAUGUGAAUAUGUGUUGAAUAGGUACAGCAGCUUAGAGGGAACUGGUGUUGAUUUCAAUUAAGCGAUUGUGAGAUUUCAAGAAUUGAUUGGACCUAUUAUAGUUCAUGGAUAUAAGCACGUGAAUUAACUCGAGAGUGAGUAUCAAUGAUUACUAUAAUUGAUGUGUGGUCAUGAAGUAAGAAGUUAGUAAACAAAUUUGCUCUAAGGAUGAGCUUGAACUUUGCUAUGCAUAGUAGGGGGAGCCAAGGGAUUAAAGGACUAGAUGUGGAAUUGGCAGCUUGAGGUUAAAUGACUUGGAAAUGUCGAAUCUAGUCUAAGUGCCAUAUGAAGUUCUAUAAUUGAGACUGAUAUACGAAUUACUUGAAAGAUCAAUUUAAAAGUUUAUUCAGUUCAAAGUGUGGCCUAUGAUACGAAUGAUCAGUCUUGAAGGUGAUCUCCCCAGAGUAAGGAAUUUAGAAAAUGUUGAUGUUUGGAUAUACUCUAAGAGAGAGAACUUCUGCAUCCUAAGUUUAGGACAACUUUGAUCUUAUGAUCGCAAAGGCAAGGUGUAAUAACUAAGUAAAUUAUUCACUUAAUAAAUGUGAUUGGUUAUUGAUGAAUAAAGUCAAGAUCUUAACAUUUAGUGGUAUACAAUUUGAUAAUUAUGUAUUUAAGAGUUAUUUGGAGACAAUUCCUUCAUCAAAUUUGCACUAAAUGCUAUGGUAAAGGCAUAUCAAUGUUAAUAUGGAAAUGUAUCCAGGAAUGAUCUUAACAUACCACCAAAGGAGAAUUAAACAUGUUGAAAUUAAUGUUCUAAUAGUGUGCAUAUGAUAGAAAGCUAGUUUGUAAGUUGUAGUUUUCAUGAUCAUGAAAUAUAUAAAGAUUAUCAAUCUAUGGACAUACACUUGGAGUUGUAAUUUACAAGUUUAGAGUAUUUAAGAUAUUAUUAAAUGGAAUUAGCAUUAGUUAAGGUACGUAAAUCUUUUAAUUAAUUUCUGUGGAGUAUGCAUGAUAGUAGAAUGGAGGAACAUAGUGCCGUGAUACUAUAUGGUGAAGUUACUAUACAAUAUGGAAAGAGUAUUCUAAAGUGGGAUUUAUUGAUUGUUGACAAGUGUUAUAAGAUGAGAUGAAUUUGAAAAUAUCGACUUUACCUAUUAUAUGUGAUAAGCACAAGAAGAUAUAAAUGGUUAUGGAAAUUGUGACGUAAGCUUGGAGGGAAACCAAACGGUUGAGAAUGAUUAGUGUAGUAACCUUAAAUAUAGAUGAAUAACAUUGAUUAAGUAAACUCCAACAGCCACUGUGUUGCGGUGCUAAGAACACUUCAUGUCUAUGACGCAUGAAUAAAAUGAGACAGAUGUGAAGUUGAACUUACGAGUUGACCUAAAGUCAUUGAACUUGAUUCGAAGUUUUGUUAACUGGAGUUUUAAGGUUUUGGAAGGUAUUGAUAUGAAUGAGUUAAAGCUAAAAUGGUUAAAGGAAUUCCCUUCGGGGGGGGGGGGAGGCAAAAGGUCUAGGGUUCGAAACUUGGUGAGAAGGUCCUGCAGGGCCUGUCAUGCUGCCCUUAGGCACAGGGUUCUGAGUAAGUCAAGUGAUAGGGAUCCAGACAUAACAAUACCUUGGAGUGGGCCUCGAAGGGGAUGCCACAUAAAUGGCUAAGUUACAGGUUAAGUGAUCACAUGUUGUGAGACAUAAGUUUAAGAUAGAGAUCUCCAAGGAAAUACUGAAGAAAAUUUUUGCCAUGGAUCUCGUGAAAGCAAGCACUAAGUUAUAUGGUUAUAAAAAGGAAGUUGUAAGCUGAGAGUGAUAUUAGUAAUAAUAUUGAAAAGUACUUGAGGGGAAUCUAGUUUCAAGUUUUGCAAUUUCAAGUGCAAUUUAUAAAUUGGCUAAGGGAGAAUGAUGUUAUAUUCGUAUGAAAGAGUGGAACAAAGGAUGAUUGAAGUUAACCUUGAUAAUGAAGUCAGAUAAUGACACUUUCCUAAUAUAUUAUGGAAAAUUGGAAUUCGAAAAUGCUUGAGGCAUACAUGAUUCAAAUGGGUCUAAGUCUUAAGUGAUAAAUCAAUAUCGGAAUGCAAGAAGGAUACAAGGUAAUGUAGAGGCAUGAAGGAUAAUCGAGGAAAAAGGAUGACUCUUAGGAAUUGUGGUAUUGCCUAAGAUGCAAUGAUCAAAUUAAGAUAAAUCUUUGAGGCAUCAAUGGGAUUAUAAAGCAUACACGCAUAAUAGAUUAUAAUUCAAUGGAGAUGACAUUAUGAUGCAACGAUAUAUAGUACAGGGAAACUUAAGCAUAUAAUUGGAAAUGAUAAGAAGAGAGUAUAAGUAUGUAAAUGAUGUGGAACUAUGCACAGGCAUGAUGAGAAUUUGUACGAAUUAUGAAGAUUAUUCUAUUGAAUCUUGGUUAUGGAUGGGAAUGAACAAAAAAAAAUUAGUCUGAAGGUAUUUGAAAAUAGAGACCCGUGUACUUAAUGAGGAAAAUGGACAUUUGAAUGUGCGUGUAUACGUGUGUGUGGAGUUAGUUGUCAAGACCCAAAUUCCAGGCCAUGAUCGGCACAAGGGCCUAAUAGAAGUAAUCCAUUAGGCCCAAGCAAGCCUAUCUAUUUAUCCUACUCAUCAUUCCAUCAAAUAUUGCUAAGUCACAUUUUAUAACUUUAAAUCAAAAUAGUGAUAGACAUUCCCAACUCGUACUGGCAUACCAAUUAAGUGUACAUUGCCUACAACAUGUACCUUAAUAAUUUACAUCAAGUUUGUCUAUACAUCUCAAAAAGAAGACUCGAUUUCCAGCGAAGGGACUCGGGCGAAUGUAUAGCUACUAAAUGCCGAGACACCUACCAAAAGAUGGAUAUAAGUCUACAAGGACACCUCAUCCUAGUUACCAGCUGCCUCGUGAUCUGAAAACAUGAAGUUGAAAACGGUGAGUAUAAACCCAGUGAGUGAACAAGGAAGGGAACAAGCAACAAAAAUGGAGAAUUUAAAAUCAUGAUGCACUUGUUUCAAAAUAAUGCAAUUUAGUUCCAUUCAUAUUAAAAACCCAUCAUCAAGUCCUUAAAUGAUUUAUCAUUUGAAAAUCAUGAACCCAUGCAUAACGAACCAUUUGAAGAAUGAAAACUUCAAUAUUACACAAGCAAGUCAAAUACGAUAACGAAUCUUUGCUGCAGCGAGAAUGAAUUUUCGUUUUAGCGACGUUGGGAUUUAGUUAUUAGCCGAACGAGGGUUUCUCAACUAGCCGAAGGUUUCUCACUAAACCUCUUUAUUUUAAACUUAACUCAUUUAGUCCUUAAUGUUGGAAGUCCAUACUCAGAUAUGGUAGCAAAAAAGUGAAAAAUAGAGCAGCAAAUGGACAAGAUAGGAGGCAAAACAGAAAGUUUUUUGCUACAGCAAGAUUGAAUCUCGCUGCAGCGAAAUUGUAACCCAAAAACAGAAGGUUUCUCGCUGCAGUGAAAUUCAGCUGAUGAAACAUAGAGUUUCUCGCUGCAGUGAGAUUCCUUUUCGCUACAGCGAGAAGCUAUAGUGACUAUCUCGCUGCAGCGAGAACCAGUUCUGGUGAAGGCUCUCAAACCCAAGAGUUUCUCGUUGCAGCGAGAAUGAUUCUCCCUACAGCGAGAUACAGAGCAUCAAUGAAAAAUUUGCCUUUCUCCCAAAGAAAAACCACCUUGCUGAAAUGUCCAAACCAACAUGAAAUGCAUGAUAAUUUUCCAAAGUUUAACAUGUCAAGUUUCACAUGCAUUAUAACCAUAUACCAUUACUCAUUAAUUUCCUAUAACACACAUAUUUACAUAUGUAUAUAUGUAUACGUAUACCCAUCAUCAUCAUACACACCAUCCCAUCAUCAUCAUCACCAGCUCAUGGGCACUUCCUACUCGCACAUGGCUGGGUCAUCACUGGGUUAUGCACACCCCUUACUCCACAUAACCGGGUCAUCCUCGGCUUAUGUGCACUCCCUACUUGCACAUAGCCGAGUAAUGUCAUUACACAACAAUUUAUUCAUAUAUAUAUAUCAACACAAUUUGGUAGUGCAUGAAUCAAUAAUAGUCACAUGUCACAACAUAAGCCAUUUCUCAAGAGCUUGUUCCCAAGGCACUCAUUUUUAAGAAAAAUUGUAUAAAAUCAUUCAAACACUUUGUACAAAACAGUCACAUUCCUAAAAUAGUUUUGAUAGGCAGUCCACUCACUGAUUUAUUAUUGAGCCUUUAGUUGACUCUAAUUCCCCUAAUGAUCCAAUUGGAAGGAUGGGACUUCAUUAGAACCUAGGAUCACAUUAGCAUAAGCAAUAGGUCAAUUCACACGUUAUGAACCCUAAAAGCUAUGUCUUAGCUAGCUUUCAAUUGCCACAUUAAAUGGCUAUCUAUGUUCACUAUCUUAAUCACUAAAAAAGUAAUGAACAUACUCAACAAUAAAACAGCUCAUAAUCCCAAUUACUAGCCAUUAUUCACAGCUAAAAAUCAAGCUUAGUUCAUCACUUACCUUAGGGCUCCUUUGUAGUCGAAUUCUCUUCCAAUAGCUUCAAAAUCAAUGGGGUAAUUCUCUCUUUCUCUCUCUAGAACGCCCAACUAGUGAGAGAAGGUAUAGAAAUAAGAUUUAUCAAGGGUUUUGAAGUGAGAGAUUGAAAGUAUAUAAGGGUUCUAGUCAAAAAGGCUCAAAAGUAUGAAAACUAGAGCUAGAGAGAGAAAAUUAUGCAAGCUCCAUAUCAAACUUCCAUGGAGGUUUUAAAGAAAUGUGAAAGGGAAGAAGGAGAAGAAGACAAGCUACUGGAAAUUCAAGAAGUUACUGGAAAUUCAAGAUAUUUUAUAGCCAAACUUAUCCACUCCACUUAAAUUACCAAAUUGUCCCUCCACAAUUUAGCUUAUUCUCUUAUAAUCUUUUAUGCAAUAUUUUUACUCUUUUGACACUGGGAUAAGGUCCAUAAUGGUCUAGACAUGCUCGGGUUCAUGAAAACUUAAAAUUUUAACUUGAGGUGAAAAAUGACCAUUUUGCCCCUAUCGUGAAAAUCGUCAAAAUUUUGGUUUCCUUUCCAUUUUACCCUUAAUUUCACCAAAAACACUAAAAUACAUUGAAAUCUAACCAAAUCAAGCAUCAAAACCUCUCUCUAAGUGUUUAGCCUGCAAGAUACCCAUCAUGAAAUGAUGUGAUUCAACCAUGGAAAAUGCAAAAGAAUGAUUGGGAAAGGUAGAUCACAAGUCAAAAUCAAGAAAUUUUACCUUUGAUUGCUUGAUUACUUGAAAUCCACCAAUUUUCUCUUGAAUUUUCACCCUAGGGUUCUUGUUCUUUCUUUUCUUCCUUUGUUCUUGCUUUGGCCGGCCAUAAUGAAGAGAAAUGGGCUGAUUUUGUGCUAAUUUAUAAGGAAAAUAAUAAAUGGAUGAAAAUUUGACACAUGUCACCUUUCCAUUGGCCUAUGUGUCAUACUUAUCCAUUAAGCAAUCUCUCCACCACUUAAAUUUCCUCAAUUAUCCAUGAUAGUAUUGGGUAAAAUUCAUGUGUUGGACAAGUGUUAGGUGAUGUAAAAUUACAAUUUUGCCCUUGGGUGGUAAAAUGACUAUUUUACCCCUAUGCUCAAAAAAUGUCGGAAUUAAAAUUCUUCACUUCUCAAACUCAAAUUAUACUUCAAAUGAUCAAUCUUAGUCAAAAAUUUCAUCCAACACUCACAUCUUAACCUCGGGUGGCAAAAUAACUAUUUUACCUCUAAGUCAUGAAAAUUCCAAUUUGACUUCAAAUCGGUCCUCGAAGUCCAAAUCACCAUGUUAAGUCAUUAUGGGGUUUUAAAAUUCUUAAUUUCAUCUUAAAAUCUCUAUUUGGACUAGUUCGAGGCUUAAUUCAACUUAAUUCUACCAUUUGGUACAAUAUCGUCCUUUAAUGAUUUCCAAGGUACCCAAGUAAGCAAACAUGCAUUCUUAUGUAGGAAUGGCAUAAUAAACAUAUUGUCGAGCUGGGCUUGACACUUUGACUAAGUUUUAUAACAAAAUUACCGUUUUGCCUUUCAAGGUUCUCAUCCUUUUAAUUAAGUUCUCUCAAAAUCUUUAAAUCUCUAAUUUCCUUCUAUUAUCUUCUCUUACAUAUGUACAAACGAAAUAUAAAAUUUGUACCCCAACGCGGUGUCCCCAUAAUAUUUAAAAUAUUUAUUUACUCGCGUUAUCUUUAUUUAAUAAAGACACGCAGCCCCAUUAACAUCAUUUUUCUUCAAAAUUUUCUCAUUCUUCUUCUCCCCCAUUUAGAUUGACCAUAUACUCCUCCAUAAAAAAUUUUGACACUGAAUAAAAUAUUAAUAUUUUAAUAUUAUUUUAUUAAUAAAAUAUUAUUUUAUUUCAAAAAUUUCCUCUUGUCUCCUUGGUACCCAAAAUACCUUAUUAUGCUUCAAUUCACUCACGAAUCACUUUUUAUCUCAUAAAUUCUUUCUCGAUAAAAAUAUUAUUAUUUUAUUAUUAUUUCCUCACAUGCGGAAUAUUUUAUCCCAGACUAUUCUUUUCAUCUUUCAUCACUUUUAAACAUUAUAGUUAACCUCAAUUGGCAUCCGAUAAGCUUUAUUAGUCACCACAUCAAAGUACGGGGUAUUACAGUCUCCCCCACUUAAACAGAAUUCGUCUUCGAAUUCACAUCGGUGUCGAGUUAUCAAUCUCACUCUAUGAUCUUAUUCCAUUUCUCCUUUUAUAGGGAAUUUCAAUUUAUUCACCUCGUUCACCUUCAAUUCAACUUGAAUGUUUCACUUAUGUCUAUUUUAUCCUUUAGAAUCAGAUCAAUAGUACCCUUCACAAUCAUGAUCUCUUAUAUUGAGACACCAAGCAUGCCUCUAUCAUUAUCAUUAAAUUUGAACCAUAACUCCAUCUCAAUCAUAUCGAUUUCGAUCACAUAUUGUACUUACUUAUGUAUACUUAAUCACCAUUUUAUUGUUUUACUCCUUGCCAAACUCCUCAACAUUGAUUCAUUCAUCUUAUCCCCAUACACUAUUAUUGUUAAGCCCGGCUCUACAAUAUGUUUAUUAUGUCAUUUUUACAUAAGAAUGUAUGUUUGCUUACUUGGGUACCUUAGAAAUCGUUAAAGGACGGUAUUGUACCAACUGGUACAAUUAAGUUGAAUUAAGCCUCGAACUAGUUCAAAUAGAGAUUUUAAGAUGAAAUUGAGAAUUUUAAAACCCCAGAAUGACUUAAAAUGGUGAUUUAGAGUUCGAGGACCGAUUUGGAGUCAAAUUGGAAUUUUCAUGACCUAGGGGCAAAAUGGUCACUUUGCCACCCGAGGUUAAAAUUGGAAUGUUGGAAGAUGUUUUUGAUCAAAAUUGACUAUUUAGAACAUAAUUUAAGUUUGAGAAGUGAAAAAUUUUAAUUCUAGCAUUUUUUCGAGCAUAAGGGUAAAAUAGUCAUUUUGCCACCCCAGGGGCAAAAUUAUAAUUUUACAGCACCCAACACUUGUCCAACACAUGGAUUUUACCCAAUAUUAUCAUGGAUAAUUGAGAAAAUUUAAAUGGUGGAGAGAGAUUGCUUAAUGGGCAAGUAUGACACAUGGGCCAAUAGAAUGGUGACAUGUGUCAAAUUUUCAUCCAUUUAUAUUUGACUUUAAAAAUCAGCACAUAAACUCUCCCAACUCAUUUCUCAUGGCCGGCCAUAGAAAGAACAAAGGAAGAAAAGAAGAACAAAAACCCUAGAGUGAAAAUUCAAGAGUAAAUUGGUGGAUUUCAAGUAAUCAAUCAAUCAAAAGUAAAAUUUCUUGAUUUUGACUUGUGAUCUAGCUUUCCCAUGCAUUAUUUUGCAUUUUUCAUGGUUGAAUCACAAGAUAUCAUGAAGGAUUCAUGGCUGACCGAAUUUAGAGAGAGAAGAUUUGAUGAUUUAUUUGGUUAGAUUUUGAGAUAUUUUAGUGUUUAUAGUUGAUUUAUCAUGUUUGGAAGGAAAACAAGUAAGAAAAAUCACAUAUUCUUCAUGGAUUCUUCAUUGGUCGAAUUUCAUAAAGACAAUAUUGAAGAUGAAUCUUGUGAUGUCUUAUGUUAUUUAGUUAGAAUUUAAUGAAUUGUGGUGGUGAAAACCGAAAAUGGUAAUGUUUAGCAUGAAAAAACCGUAUACCCCACAAGAACCUCCAUUGACCGAAUCUUUCCUAUGGUGUGUUGAUGGCGGAUUUGAUUUUAUAUGAAGUGAAUUGGUUAGGAAAUGAUGAAUUAUGGUGAGAAAAUCAAGUAGGAAAAAUUAUACUGUUGAUGCACCCACCAUUGCCAAAUUUUCCAAGAGAAAAUGUGAGGAUGAUUUUGCUAUAUUUUAAGUUAUUUAAUUUGUGCUUGAUGAUUUGGAGUAUUGGGAGAAAAAUGGAAUUAUUUGGAGUUGAAUUGGACAUAUUGGCCAAUUAAUCGAGUGAUAGAUCGAAUUAGGCCAAUACCGUUUUAUUUAGGUACAUAAUUGAAUUUAUAUUGAACACCGUAUUUAGAUAGUUACCUGAGUAUUUCACAUCCCAUUUCAUGCAUUACUAUAAAGCCUGAAUUGGUUUUAUAACAGUUUAGCACAAAUGUAGUAAAUGGCUUAUUGUGCAUUAUGUCUAGGUGGUGAGCAUUUUGGCAAAAGUAAAGAGAUAGUACCCAAGGAUCAAGAAUCGGAGUACUCGAAACUCGAUUUCCAUUACAGUGAGUAACCUUACUAUUGUCUUAAUUAUCUAAAGU
rnacentral:lncRNA from 1 species